AUGCCCUACAUACCAGCUGACGUCACAAACCUAAAGGCAAAGUACCGUAGAGAGAGCAAAUUGGCUGACAUAGAGGCCACAAUGGCCUACUUCGAUGAGAAAGCGAAGGAAGAUCCAGAUUUCUUCUACAGGAUAAGGAUGGACGAUGAGGACCGUGUCAGGAACAUGUAUUGGGUGGAUAGUGCUGCAAGGAGAGCCAACAAACAUUUUCGAGAUUGCAUUUCAUUCGACGCGACGUAUCUCACUAAUAUGUACAAGAUGCCAUGCGCUCCAUUCUUAGGAAUAAAUAAC
rnacentral:rRNA from 1 species